rnacentral:lncRNA from 1 species
UACUUUUAAAAGUAUUUUAUUGAGAUCGUUCAGGAAACUAUGCAUUUCCAAGCCAUUAUAUAGUCUGGGCAAGAUAAGUUCUUAUUUCAUUUGUCUAAUACUCAUGUUCAAGGGAGGCCCUGGUUCAGUCUGGGCGCAGGGCUCGCAGAUUACACCUUACAGCCUCUCAUGUUCAGAUAACUGGCAACAAAGCAAUAAAAAGCCGUCCAACUUGUCAGUGCGUAGCAGCAAAGCCCUGAAAAUUCAGAAGAACAUUUUCAGCAGGGGAACAGCAAACACAAAGCUGAUUUAUGUGUUUCUAAAACCAGGAUAUUCCAACAAGGUCAGCUUUACAAUCUGCACAGCGGGUUCAUUGUGCUAACUUUACAGGCCCUAGUGACAUCAUACAAAGCCUUCAACAACCCCUCCACCCCGCCUUUACUGCUUUAUUACCCUGAAAAGUGAGCUAACCACCCACCUUCAUGUGGGCAGGACAAAGGGCUGGCUCUCAUUAGAUGAUUAGCUCAUUCAGGUCACAUCUAGGUCACUUCCACCUUUGUCUGGAUUCCAAGGUUAGCCCUCAUCUAGGUGAGGGGAUGGGGCCCCUGUGAAGUCCUCAGAGCUCACCCUGGAGAGUUAAGAUGGGCACAAUGAGAAACAGGAGAGCAGGGUAUGUUCCUCACCAGAGCCAGUGUUGGCACACUGGGCUCAAUCUCAAGAGGUUCCCCAAAUGAGUCAGAUUUAUAGCUGACAUCAAGGACAGCGUCAGAGACUCUAGUCUGUGAAAUCAUCACUCUCAAUUGAGGGAGACCAGAACCUAGGGUACCACCCAGGGAGAUAGACACAGGAUGCGGUAGCCAGUGUGUGUAGUUAGGCUUCGGACUGUUGCAGAGCUAUAUAAAGCCAAAACUCCUGGGGACUGAAAUUUAACUGCUAAAACCUUUAACGAAAAAAGGUGGCAUGGGCCGGAGAGAUGGCUCAUAACCAUGUGUAAUGGGAUCUGACGCCCUCUUCUGGUGUGUCUGAAGACAGCAAUAGUGUACUCACAAACAUCUAAAUCUUAA